AACUUAAAAAAAGGCAAGAUAUUUAUUUGCAAAGCUAACUAAUGAAUGUCAUAAUCACUCUAUACAAAUGAAUCCAUAAUUAGUAGGAGAAUUGUCUGAAACUUUUGAUUUUAAUAAAUUCCAACGUUAGCAGAACAUACAACUUGUGUCUCGUGAAAUAUACACCGGAGAAAUCCUUAAAUUAACUAAAUAUAUAUUAGGUAGCACUUUCAGAUCCAGCUUAACAAAUCAUAGUCCAACACUAUAAUUUCUGAAAUAAAAUCUAAAUAAUCUGGAUGAAAAAUCUCUAUCAGUCACAUGGAAAUGAUAAAUAAGACAACAAUAUAUAGUGUUUAUAAGAAGAAGCAUUUUAUAAAGUCCAUGUGUAUAAGUGUAGUUCUGCAAAAUCUAACUCUACCUUGGUAUCACUAACUACUAAAGAUGUUAUUCCCUUAAUUAAGUCUUUGUUUUUCAUUACUUUAAAACAUAGUAUUUUGGAGUAGAAAUAUACAAUGUAAGUAGCAUGUGUUGGCAAAUGUUAGCAAAUAUUUAAGCAUUGAAAAAAAGAAAAUUACACACGUAGAUAGUGAAAGCAUUUAAUAGUGAAGUACGCUGAGCAGCAGAACGUCAUAGCACAUCACCAACAACACCACCAAAUGGACAGCAAAAGCAGCAGUAACAGAAACUCAAGAAUACCCCCGAAAACCCAGCAAAAAAGCACUUGAACUAACAACUAAUAAUUCCAGAAACUACUUAAGAGAUCCUUUUGUUUUUCCAAAAAAAUUUCACACAAACAAUACUCUCAAAAGAUGCCCUUUUUCUUUAAGAUAGGUGCCCUUUUUUAGCGUAAAAAAUGUGUAAAGAUGUUCAACCCCAAGCGAUCUUUAUGUUUUCAUCAACUAAAAUAUACUAGCAGAAUGCUGUUUUAACUAUCAAUAUGUAUAUAACCAUUACAGACUGUAGACUAAAAACAUGGAUAGUAUGUCGAACAUUUAUCCAAUCCAGUAAAGUGCAUCAAACAUGUAUGAAGAUCUGGAAUGAUCCUUAUCUUCAAUCAAUCACUAUAAAAGCUGCAUUACAAAGUUUAAAGGUUACUUGAAGAGAAAAAAAUGAUACAACAGUGAAAAAGAGCAUAAACGAAGUAGAAACAGCAGAAGCAGCAAUAGGAACAGUAGUGAAAUCAACAGUGUUAAAGCAGCCCAGAAAUCUUAGUAAAAUCGGUGAUUUUUCAAGAGAAGGAACUCAUAAACUAUCUUUAAGACUCAACUAUUUUUCUGUAAAAUUAUGCACUCUAAGACUCCCUCCUAAAGCUUACAAUUUCAGCUUCUUAAAGGAAGCCUCUACUGAAGUUUUCUGUCAAAGUUGUGUUCUUCUUUUUAGUGUAAACGAUGUUCAGAUGCUAUGUAUGUUAGAGUGUGUGUUUUUUAGAGUCCAAGAUAUCCUGAAAUGAAGAAAGAGCUCCUCUUUUUAUAGGGGGAGGAAGUACCUUGGGACAGAUUUUGUUUGGACAAAAAUCUGUCCAAAAUGAUAGAUUUUUGACCAAAAAUCUGUCCAAAACUAGAUUCCUGUCCAAUAAACAGUUGUUCCCAACAAAUAUGGACAGAAUUUUGGAGCAUUGUGCUCUAAAACAGUCCGCAACAGUAAAUGCAACCAAACAAAGGACCCUACGCUCAAGUAUUCUGUUUUUCUUACCCUUUCCUUUUAAUUUCUCAAACCAAAUUCUAUGUUUAAACCAAACACAUGGCUCGUAUUACUCAAAUCUUACUAACAUACACUCAUAACUUUUGAAGUGAUAAUAUACUAAGUAUUUCAACACAUACUAUCAUCAAGCAUUCAACCUAUAGAUUAUCGCUUCAUUAGAAUAAAUGUAACUCGUGUCUUGAAAAGAUCAAUGACUCGAAUCAAGAUCACGGAUGCCUUUGAACGAUGAUCAAUUAACACGAAUAAACAAGCUAACUGAACUUUAUAUAACCUAUAUUAAUCAGUUCACAAAAGAACUUACAAACGGAACUAGAAGCUAAUCAAUCUACCUGCCAAACGAUGGUCCUGAACUAAUAUGAAGCAAACCAACUACCAACUGAUAAUCCCCAAACCAAAAUGCGAUUUGAAUCUAGCAAAUGUAAUCUAGUUAAACAUUAAAAGAUAAAACGAGGUAAACUAACAAAACUGAUCAUGCUUCCCAGGAUAUGCCAAUCAAAACGGAUAACACGACCAAUACAAACAAGAAUAAACGAGUGCAUAUUGACCAAAAGACUUAAACUUUGAAACAAAAUGCAUAAUUCAAACUAAUAUACAUGAGUCGAAACCAACGCUUAAAACUACCUAUAAAUGAUAUAAACGACAUUGAAGCAAAAUUGAAACUAACAGAAAUUGAAUAAUACAUAAUUACGUGAGAUUAAAUGAGACGGAAACUAAAAUAUGAUCCUAGUCUUGAUAAACAGAACCGAAAAUCAGAAACGACGGAAAGGGAUAAAGGUUUUACCUCACGAGGAGAUCGAGGCCAACCCAAGAAACGAGGAAGAACCAAGGGUGUCGGAUGGUGGCUGUCCGACCUUGAAACGAGCGUAUCUUUCUACCACAUGUUGGAUCCAAUGAGCUUCAACGUCGUACUAGAGAGAAGCAAACGUAUUUGGGUCGGAAUAAGCUAGAACAAAAAUGAGCAGUACGGUGGCGGCGGUUGACGGCGGUGGUGUGGCGGGCAGCGGGUUUUUUGGGUCACCAGUGAUGGGGAUUUUUGGACAUGUGCCGGAGAUAUGGAGUGAGGAGGAGAAGAGGACGAAAUGGUACGAUUUCGGCGGAGAUUGGAGGUGGCGAACACGACUAGGGUUACGCUUAGGUUUUGAUUUAGUGAGAUUGAGAUAUUUUUGGGGAUUUUGAGUGGUAUAGGUAGAAAGAGGAGGAAGAGGGGAGGAUAGAGUGAAAUUUUAGGGGUGGUUUGGGGUUCGUCCGCCGACGUUGGCGAUUUCGGCCGGCGGAAUAUGGCGGCGGGCAGCGGUUGGUUUUGUGAGAGAGGAGAGAGGAGAGGACAUGUGCCGGAGAUAUGGAGUGAGGAGGAGAAGAGGACGAAAUGGUACGAUUUCGGCGGAGAUUGGAGGUGGCGAACACGACUAGGGUUACGCUUAGGUUUUGAUUUAGUGAGAUUGAGAUAUUUUUGGGGAUUUUGAGUGGUAUAGGUAGAAAGAGGAGGAAGAGGGGAGGAUAGAGUGAAAUUUUAGGGGUGGUUUGGGGUUCGUCCGCCGACGUUGGCGAUUUCGGCCGGCGGAAUAUGGCGGCGGGCAGCGGUUGGUUUUGUGAGAGAGGAGAGAGUAGAGAGAGGAGUGAAAUAGAUAAUAUGGAAAAAAUGAGGGCAAAUUUUGGCUUCUUUAGGUGUUAAAUAUUAAGAAUGAAGAUCAUAUUUGGACCAUUGGAUCAAAAGGCUAUGAAUAUAUAUAUAUAUAAUGUAGAAGAAAAAUGGGGAAAAAUUAGGCAUUUAUAGGACAAGGUGGGAGUAAUGGUGGACAAGAUGCACUAAGCGAUGUUGAGAUAGUGCAGACAUGUGAAGAGGAGAUACACAGAUGCCUAGUUGAGGAGGUGUGAAAGGUUGGC
rnacentral:lncRNA from 1 species